AGUCUCGAGAGCGUUUUCCCGGCGGAUCUAUCCUGCCUAAGUUGCUUGGAACAGCACAUCAGAGAGGGUGACAAUCCCGUUUGUGGCAGGGCAGACCGUUCAUGAUACGCUUUCCAUGAGUCGGGUUGCUUGGGAAUGCAGCCCAAAAUUGGUGGUAAACUCCAUCUAAAGCUAAAUAUUGGCACGAGACCGAUAGCGAACAAGUACCGUGAGGGAAAGAUGAAAAGAACUUUGAAAAGAGAGUUAAAAAGUGCGUGAAACCGUUAGAGGGGAAGCGGAUGCAGUUAGCAAUGCUUCUGCGAGAUUCAGGCGGUCGCUCGGCCAGACGUGCAGUUGGUGGAUCCGAAUGGACUGUCGCUGCACGGCCGGGUCUUGUGUCCGUCGCACUUCUCGCUGGAGCGCGUCAACAGCUGCUGGGCCUGGUCGACACGGUCGGGUGGAAGGUGAGCAUCCAGCUUGCUGGCUGUUGUUAUAUCCACUCGUGCCCAGGUCGGGCUUGGCAGAGGUGAGCGGUGCAUGCUCUCUCUCGAGGGCUGGCGUCCUGUUCCGUUCACGUAGCUGGCUCGGAUGCACUGCGUGCAGUUCGUUCUUGCCGGUGAAAUGCGGUUGCAGUCAACGCACACGAUGCACCAUGGUUGUUGGCGGCCAUAUGGCUUUAUCCGACCCGUCUUGAAACACGGACCAAGGAGUCUAACAUGUGCGCAAGUCUUGGGGUGACCGAAACCCAGAGGCGCAAUGAAAGUGAAGGCUGCCUAGCAGCUGAGGUGAGAUCUUUGCUCUACGCGAGUGAGGCGCAUCAUCGACCGACCUAUUCUACUCUUAGGAAGGUUUGAGUAAGAGCGUACAUGUUGGGACCCGAAAGAUGGUGAACUAUGCCUGAGUAGGGUGAAGCCAGAGGAAACUCUGGUGGAAGCUCGUAGCGAUUCUGACGUGCAAAUCGAUCGUCGAACUUGGGUAUAGGGGCGAAAGACUAAUCGAACCA
rnacentral:rRNA from 1 species